CUAGGUUUUGGUUUCUGGUAAAGCCAGUCUGAUAAAGAGCCUCCAGGCUUGAUCAAUAAUGAGAAUACAUUCCUAUGGUUGUCAUUUCAUCCUAUCCUGUAGUCUAUCAGAAAUGUAAUAAGGAAAGAAAGGUAAUUUUCAAGAACUUAAUUUUAUUAUGCAGAAAAAUAAUCAAAGUAUUAUCCUUUUCCCUUAGCAUGCUGGGGUUUAGCACUUUGUAAAGAAAGGUUAUAUCAAUGUAGGACAUGUAUUUUGGGUAUUUAGGUGUUUCUCCAUUUUUAUGAGAAAUCCAGUUUUGACUAAUGCAUGAGGGACUAGACAGAGCCUCCCUUUCCUGUAUUCUGGGACAUGUUCCAUGGGAGAAUUCAGCAGAAAACCAAUUCCUGUAAAUUAAGUUAUGACAUCCUUAUCAUGUUUUCCAGCUCCUCUCAUAUAGCACAGCAAUGUAUGUCAGAAGGGGAUGUGUACACUGUGGUCUGGUUUUGAUACCAGUGAGAUUUCACAUUGCAGUCCUGGCUCUUCUGUUUCAAAUGGCAAAGGGAAAGCCGUACCACCAGGAAAACGAUAUAAAACACUGUUUAUGGAUAUUUAAUUUCAGGUUUAUGAAGUAGGAAAAAACCCAAACCAAAACAAUCACAUGCCAAACCAGCACAAUUGAUCUGUUACUGCUGGGAUCUGUCCUUUUUUGUUGUUGUUAUGUAAACUGCGUGACAGGCUGGCUUUCCAACGGUGGGAAAAUCUCCUGAGAAGAAACGUGUCCCUCGCUUCCUCUGGGAAUGCUCAGUACCCUGGAGAUUCUUCUUGCUUGACAUUUUGUUUCUCAAGUGACUACUGGACCUUUGCUCAGAUGAGAUAAGUAAUUUUUCUUUCCCUGGCUACAAGUAGUACAUGUAAUUAUGUAAUUGUAAGGCUUAAGGCUAAACUGGUUUAUGACAGUUCUCCCAGAGCUUUUCUGAGCCAGGCUGAGCUGGGCAGUGUUACUUUGGCCAUGUUUUGGUGGCAGCACAGCAAGCUCAAGAAAUCCCUGUUCAUUGCCCAUCCCUGCUCUCAUACAAUUUCCCACAGCAAAUUUCGGGACCAAUAUACUUGAAGGGAAACUAGGGUGUACUUCUUACAUUUUUGAGCCAGAAACAAGCCCUGUUUAUAAAAUUAAAACAGAUCUUUAUUCUAUUUUCUGGAAAUACAGCAGUUAGUGUGAAUAAAGGCUGUAAAAUACAAUGAGCUUGCAUCUGGAAAAUUUGAAAUCCUCCACAAAACACCAGAUUCAUUAUGUUCAGAAUAUCAAAUCACAAAUUUUAGCUAACCUGAACCUCUUCUUUGCACCUGAUAGUGUUUUCAGAUAGGAGCUGCUCACAUGCACAGCAUUUGGAAGGCACUUUGCAGGCUCACAGGCAGGACAGAUCUAAUAAAUGCACACAAGGGAUCCAAACAGCCUACUUAAAUUUAUUUUCAUUGUACAAUGUUUGCAUCUGGAAUUUCAAACAGCACCAGUCUACACUGCACUGUCUGGAGGUCUGUCUCCAAAAGGAGACAAUUCUUUCAAAACCAGUACUGAACCAUUAGAUAUUAUAUUAGGUAACACCAAAUCUUGUUUUCUUACUGGACUACUGAUGUAUCUUUUUUUCAUUAUAACGUGAGGUUCUGUUGCUACAUAAUCUUCCUCCCCUUUUUUUACCAGAAAACCUACAGAACAAAAGUAGACUGCUGCCAUAUGGAAAGGGCAGCUAGAGCCUUACUGCUGUUUCCUUUUCUAUUAGAGGAUACACUGAAAUGUCUAAACAAAGAUAUUUGUGGUUGUAUGGAAGUUUAGGGUUAAAGAGCUCCCUGGGGCUGGAAGGCACACACACACGCUGCCUGGGAAGGGCUGCUGCAGGGUCAGGAAGGCUCCCCUGCUAGACAGAUUUCUGCUCUGGAGAUCCUGCUGCUUUUCCCUUUGAAUGCCCUUCCUGCCUGGACUCCUUAAGUAGAUAUUUAACUGUAGGAUCCUUACAAAUUCUGCUGAUUUGGAGGGGGCUUCACACAAGUGUACAGGGAUUGCUGAGCUGUUUAGGAUUUCAGAGGUGCUCAGGUGUUUUACAGAAUCACAGAAUGCUUUGUGUUAGAAGGGACCUCAAAGCUCAUCCAGUUCCAUCCCCCUGCCAUGGGCAGGGACACUUUCCACUAGACCACAUUGCUGACAUUCCCAUCCAGCCUGGCCUUGAACACUUUUUAUCUCAGUGGGUAACAGCAUCUCCAGUGUUUUAAUUUGGUUCUAUUUAUUCAUAUUAGCAGACAGUACUCUACAAUUCCAUUUAUUAGGUACUUAUGUCUUAGCAAGUGAUUCCCAAAACUGGAAUCCAGCACUUGCAGAUUUCCCCUUCAGAAGCCUUUGAUCUGAAAUAAAUCAAAACCAAAUUUACUUCACCAGAAAGAAUAGUACAUUUACUAAGAAAUGUUUUUAAAACCGUGACAAGCUGACAUUCACUUCUGCUUUCCUUCAAAACUGUCCAUCCUUUAACUUCUUUAGAGCAUUCCCACAUUAGCCUGGCUCCCUAGAGGACCUGUCUUCUCCCUUGGAUGACAAAUUCCUUCAAGUCUGCUGUCUCUGAUAUCCCUGAUCUCCUCUGUUUCCAUCUUGCCUGAUCAUUGUCUCAUUACAAUACUCCAUGUGUGCUGGAGAUGGCUGGGUUUUAUUCUUCCUUUUGCCCAGCAGCCCUUUGUUGAGCUGGUUCACUGGAGUGGCCCAGCCAAAUUGUUUCAGCAUUCACUCUCUGUUUACCACAGAGAAUCCAUGUUGUGAAUGCUCAAAAUGUGUAAGACCCUCACAUGCCAUAAUCAGUUUCUUAACAGAAGGAAAAGCAGAAUCCAAGGAAAGGAAGCAGGAAUCUGGUUUGCCCCUGACAGCCCCUUGAACUGUGCUCCGGCAGCUCGGAGCGAGCCUUCCCUGGGGGCGCAUCAGGCACAUGUGCUUUGGAGAGCAGGAGGAGCCGGGCUGAUCCCGCUGCUGCUGCGGGGAGUUCGCAUGGCCGCGGCGUGUGACCCAGCUGGGAGCGAGUCCCUGCCUGCCUGAAGGGGCUGCACGUAGCUCUGUGCUCGCUGCCCAUUUCCAUGACCAAAUUCCAUGUCCUGCACGGCAUGUGCAGCUCCCAUGCGGCGUCAUCCAUGGCUGGGGAGCUCCCCAGGGGCACGAAUGGGCACUGAGAGUAAGUGCUACCCUUUAAAGCUCACAUCUCUCAGUGAAACCAUUCGGCAAGCUCUCUGUGUCUUUGCUAAUGAACAUUUCACCCCUUGAAAGGUAUUUUUACCCUCUUCUGUGGGUGUGCAUGAUGCUGAUGGGUCCAUAUUUGUGGCAGUUUUACCAAGCUGAAAUGCCAUAGCCUCUUCAUGAUUUCAGGCACCAAAUUAUUGUGGACAGUUUUCCAAAGGGAAGAAUCUGUUGCUACUAAGAAAAUCCCUCCCCUUUUCACAACAAGAACAAAACAUCAACAAGCUUUGGAUAUGUAUUUGCAAACACACAUUUGUACAUGCACACAUUUUCCCUCUGCAGUUUUUUUCCCCAGGGUCAUAUCCCAAAUGACAUUCCCAAAGUACGCAUAAGAAAUGCCUGGAAAUCCUAGUGGUAUGAGUUCCCAGCCUUUCUCCAUUGCUGCAUGUAAAUCUAAGUCAAGCUGAAAAUUUCCAAGAGGAAAGUGACCAUAAGAAACUCACUGAGACACUUAACAGAAAUCUAAACCAACACAUUGCAAAGAGUUGCAAACAAAAACCGGUCUCAAAACCAGCACUCCUCCUGUGACAUCAUGUCACAUUAAUCACUGCUAGGUUGACCUAAUAAGGAUGAAAAUUCCCACUUCAGAGCCUGCUCUCCCAAACAAAAAAAUGCAUCUUCUGCUGUGUCGGACCUUCCUUAAUGUCUGCCAGAAGAGAUGGAGCUUUUGGAAGAUUUGCUCAGUGUCAGUGUAGCUAGCUGAGGCACAGGGUGGGAGAGAAGUCCAUCUUAGUGAGGGUCUUUUCUCCCUAAAGCAUGAUGGAGUCUCUGAGAAUGAGGAUUCAUUAUAUAUGUGUGUAUAUAUACAUACAUAUGAUGGAAUUUUUUGGCUGGAAAACCGAAGUAAAAAUAACUUGGAGAAUCCCUACUGUCAAAUUUGGCAGUGCAAAUGCUUCUUUAUAUAGAUUUGUGUGUACAUACAUAUAUAUAUAUAUAUAUAGAUAUCAAGUUAAACAAGCUUUUCUCCCUUGAUUUGAUAAUGUGCCCAAGGAGAACUUAAGUUGAAAGAUUUUACUGAUGAAUUAAUAGUCCUGUGCUUGAAGUGGAAUAGGAAAGAAUGUGAUGAUAUACAGAGAUGCAUGGUUUUGGAAAGACUAAGUAGUUAUCACCACUUGCUGGCUGAGUGAUCUGCAGUGGAUUGCUAACACUGUGCAAGGUGUGGCUGGCUACCUACUUAAAAUCUCUCUUUUGUGGACACCACUAAAAGCCUCUCAGUGAGUGAGUGCUCAGAUGUUGACAUUUGAAAUUACUAAGAUAUGAUUGAUUGCAUGUUCCCAUGCUAAAUUAUUUUGCCUGUACAUGUCUUUAUUUCAGAUUAAACAUCUCCACCUGUAAAGUCUCUGGCACCUCUGUUUUGAAGACUGUUCCACCUACCGUUCAGUGCAUGGAUGAGAUUUUGGCUGGAUGCUGAGGGGCUGGGCUCCUCUUGCUCUCUUGCUUUUGGCACUGGAGGAGGCACAGCCGGUCUACAGUCGCUGCCCAGAGGAUUUGCUGCCACGAUGGAGAUUUUGGCCUUCCUUGUGUUUCCUGCUGUGGACAGCCUAAGAGAAAUUCACAGUCCUGGAAAUGGAGGACAGAGACAAAUUGUAUGCGCUUCACUCUGACUCUUCU